UUUGAUGGCCUAUUGGUUAGAGCAUCCACCUUGGAUGCGGAAGGUUGUGGUUUCGAUUCCCAGCUGAGUCAU